UACGUAGGGUGCGAGCGUUGUCCGGAAUUAUUGGGCGUAAAGGGCUCGUAGGCGGUUUGUCGCGUCGGGGAGUGAAAACCCAGGGCUUAACCCUGGGCUGGCUUCCGAUACGGGCAGACUAGAGGUAUGCAGGGGAGAACGGAAUUCCAGGUGUAGCGGUGAAAUGCGUAGAUAUCUGGAGGAAUACCGGUGGCGAAGGCGGCAUCCUGGACCAUAACUGACGCUGAGGCGCGAAAGCUAGGGGAGCAAACGGG
rnacentral:rRNA from 1 species